UUAGUAGUGGGACGUGAACUU
rnacentral:piRNA from 1 species